GAUUAAGCUGAUAAAUACCCAACAGUACUCCCAAGUGAACAACAGUUUAUGGAAAUUUUUGACAUAAACUGGUCUUCAAAGAUUAUCCUUUUCAGUAGAGUCACAUCUAGAACUUAUCCGGGCGUUUUAAUACAAACAUUUGCGGAGUUGGAGCGUGAUGAGGGAUAAUGAAGAUGAAAACCAACAUUUUGGCAUUAAAGUGAAAGUUGAGGAAAAUGUCAAAGAAAAAAUUAUCAUUAUGAUAAUGCAGUACGGUAGACAAAAUAAACAAAUUACUAUUAAUAUUGAUGACCCAAACUUUAACCAGGUUUUCUCGAAAGACAAUUGUAAACUCAAAUUAGACUUCAUAGGUCCUUUUAAUGAAAAUACUGUAUUUAAAACAAUUAUUUUCCUGAAAAAAAAUAUCAUCUUUCAAGAAAGUAACUAUGUGAUUUACAUUAAUAGUUUGUAUGAUUAUGUCAACGUAAUUGUGUAUUUCUGGAAAAAUAAGGAAAAAAUACAAAAUAUAACGGACCCAAUUUAUAUAAUAUCAGGGAGUCAUAUUUCUUUAAUAGAUAGGUAUGACUUCUAUAUUAAAACUGAGCUCAGAAUUAAUGAACACACUAUCCCGUAUGCUAUUCAGGGAGGCAGACUUAAUGUAUCUGAUAUUGUAAUUAAAGGAAAACAUUUAAAUCAUGUCCCAUAUAGUACAUUAGAUAAUAAGGUAUCGAAGAACCUAGAUUUCUGUCUUGCUCUCACUGAUAUAAUCUUUGGAAAUCAAGAAAAACUUCUUUGUAUAAAUAAUAGUUUUGACAUCACUGCUUUAGUUGCGGUAUUAUUUUCAGAGGUAAUCAGAAAUCCAGUGAUGAUAUUUAUUAACCUAAUUGCAAUGACAAUAAAUUCCUUACAUUCUUGGAAUGACUUCCGCCAGAUUAUGCCACCUUUAGCUGGGGGAACCUGGAAAGAUAAACAGAAGUACUGUUCCAAAUUUAUGAAACGACUAAACCUAUUUUUUUCAAAAACAUUUUCUGAAACAUUUUCUGAAAUUAUUUGAACAUGGAAAUUCUUUGAUUAAUUGAAUUUAUUUUAAAAAGUUGUCCUUCAUGGAAGGGGCGGGUGGUGGAGGGUCCAAAUAAAACAAAAUAAAACAUCCCAAAAUGUUAUAAAAUAUCAACAAAUUCAUCUUCAUUAUCCCCCACGUUGUUCCACCUCCGCUUCUGGGAGGAGCCAGGCGGGGCCACAGAGCGGACUCCCCCAUCUCAUCCCACCAACUCUGUCAGUCCACCAGGCCCCACAAUGCAGCCUCCACACCACUGCAGUAACAGCCAUAUCUUCCCAUCACAAAGCUUCAGUACUGUCUCAAUGUGUUGAAGUACCAUCCAGGAUCCUGUGGCAACGUCAAUGUGAAACAGCAUUGACCCGUGAUCACCACCAACCAGGGCUCCACAGCGGUAUCCUUGGACACCCAGUGAAUCCAGAGAGAGCACACCAGGCAGCAUUGAGCACUUUGAUGAGAUUGGCUGUUCAGCAGGAAGAUUCAUCUGGCUACACAGAAGGGAUGAUGGCUCUGACCAAUAAAAUUCUAUUUUUGAAACUAUAUAACUGAAUAAACUAUGAUUUAACUAAAAACAUA